rnacentral:rRNA from 1 species
AGUAAAAGUCGUAACAAGGUUUCCGUAGGUGAACCUGCGGAAGGAUCAUUACUUGCAGUAGUUUACUACUGUUGUAGGGGCUGUGGAAAUUCUUUGGGCUGUUUCGGCAGCUUUGAGAAAAGUACACUCCCUUAUAAACCCUUGUCUUUUUGCGCACUCAUGUUUCCUCGGUGGGCUUGCCUGCCGAUUGGACAACCUAUAACCUUUUUUAAAUCUUCAAUCAGCGUCUGAAUAAUUAUAAUAAUUACAACUUUCAACAACGGAUCUCUUGGUUCUGGCAUCGAUGAAGAACGCAGCGAAAUGCGAUAAGUAGUGUGAAUUGCAGAAUUCAGUGAAUCAUCGAAUCUUUGAACGCACAUUGCGCCCCUUGGUAUUCCAUGGGGCAUGCCUGUUCGAGCGUCAUUUGUACUCUCAAGCUCUGCUUGGUGUUGGGUGUUUGUCUUUACUUUCGUCAAGACUCGCCUUAAAUGAAUUGGCAGCCGAUAUAUUGGUUUGAAGCGCAGCACAAUUUGCGAUUCUGGCUGGUAAUUAUCAGUGUCCAUAAAGUAUUUAUAACACUUUUGACCUCGGAUCAGGUAGGGAUACCCGCU